UACGUAGGGUGCGAGCGUUGUCCGGAAUUAUUGGGCGUAAAGAGCUUGUAGGCGGUUUGUCGCGUCUGCCGUGAAAAUCCGGGGCUCAACCCCGGACUUGCGGUGGGUACGGGCAGACUAGAGUGUGGUAGGGGAGACUGGAAUUCCUGGUGUAGCGGUGAAAUGCGCAGAUAUCAGGAGGAACACCGAUGGCGAAGGCAGGUCUCUGGGCCGCUACUGACGCUGAGAAGCGAAAGCAUGGGGAGCGAACAGG
rnacentral:rRNA from 1 species